rnacentral:rRNA from 1 species
GACGAACGCUGGCGGCGUGCUUAACACAUGCAAGUCGAACGGAAAGGCCCUGCUUUUGUGGGGUGCUCGAGUGGCGAACGGGUGAGUAACACGUGAGUAACCUGCCCUUGACUUUGGGAUAACUUCAGGAAACUGGGGCUAAUACCGGAUAGGAGCUCCUGCUGCAUGGUGGGGGUUGGAAAGUUUCGGCGGUUGGGGAUGGACUCGCGGCUUAUCAGCUUGUUGGUGGGGUAGUGGCUUACCAAGGCUUUGACGGGUAGCCGGCCUGAGAGGGUGACCGGCCACAUUGGGACUGAGAUACGGCCCAGACUCCUACGGGAGGCAGCAGUGGGGAAUAUUGCACAAUGGGCGGAAGCCUGAUGCAGCAACGCCGCGUGCGGGAUGACGGCCUUCGGGUUGUAAACCGCUUUCGCCUGUGACGAAGCGUGAGUGACGGUAAUGGGUAAAGAAGCACCGGCUAACUACGUGCCAGCAGCCGCGGUGAUACGUAGGGUGCGAGCGUUGUCCGGAUUUAUUGGGCGUAAAGGGCUCGUAGGUGGUUGAUCGCGUCGGAAGUGUAAUCUUGGGGCUUAACCCUGAGCGUGCUUUCGAUACGGGUUGACUUGAGGAAGGUAGGGGAGAAUGGAAUUCCUGGUGGAGCGGUGGAAUGCGCAGAUAUCAGGAGGAACACCAGUGGCGAAGGCGGUUCUCUGGGCCUUUCCUGACGCUGAGGAGCGAAAGCGUGGGGAGCGAACAGGCUUAGAUACCCUGGUAGUCCACGCUGUAAACGGUGGGUACUAGGUGUGGGGUCCGUUCCACGGGUUCCGUGCCGUAGCUAACGCUUUAAGUACCCCGCCUGGGGAGUACGGCCGCAAGGCUAAAACUCAAAGGAAUUGACGGGGCCCCGCACAAGCGGCGGAGCAUGCGGAUUAAUUCGAUGCAACGCGUAGAACCUUACCUGGGUUUGACAUGGAUCGGGAGUGCUCAGAGAUGGGUGUGCCUCUUUUGGGGUCGGUUCACAGGUGGUGCAUGCCUGUCGUCAGCUCGUGUCGUGAGAUGUUGGGUUAAGUCCCGCAACGAGCGCAACCCUUGUUCACUGUUGCCAGCACGUUAUGGUGGGGACUCAGUGGAGACCGCCGGGGUCAACUCGGAGGAAGGUGGGGAUGACGUCAAGUCCUCAUGCCCCUUAUGUCCAGGGCUUCACGCAUGCUACAAUGGCUGGUACAGAGAGUGGCGAGCCUGUGAGGGUGAGCGAAUCUCGGAAAGCCGGUCUCAGUUCGGAUUGGGGUCUGCAACUCGACCUCAUGAAGUCGGAGUCGCUAGUAAUCGCAGAUCAGCAACGCUGCGGUGAAUACGUUCCCGGG